rnacentral:rRNA from 1 species
UUGUGAGGUUAAGCGACUAAGCGUACACGGUGGAUGCCCUGGCAGUCAGAGGCGAUGAAGGACGUGCUAAUCUGCGAUAAGCGUCGGUGAGGUGAUAUGAACCGUUAUAACCGGCGAUUUCCGAAUGGGGAAACCCAGUGUGUUUCGACACACUAUCAUUAACUGAAUCCAUAGGUUAAUGAGGCGAACCGGGGGAACUGAAACAUCUAAGUACCCCGAGGAAAAGAAAUCAACCGAGAUUCCCCCAGUAGCGGCGAGCGAACGGGGAGGAGCCCAGAGCCUGAAUCAGUGUGUGUGUUAGUGGAAGCGUCUGGAAAGGCGCGCGAUACAGGGUGACAGCCCCGUACACAAAAAUGCACAUACUGUGAGCUCGAUGAGUAGGGCGGGACACGUGGUAUCCUGUCUGAAUAUGGGGGGACCAUCCUCCAAGGCUAAAUACUCCUGACUGACCGAUAGUGAACCAGUACCGUGAGGGAAAGGCGAAAAGAACCCCGGCGAGGGGAGUGAAAAAGAACCUGAAACCGUGUACGUACAAGCAGUGGGAGCCUCUUAAUGGGGUGACUGCGUACCUUUUGUAUAAUGGGUCAGCGACUUAUAUUCUGUAGCAAGGUUAACCGAAUAGGGGAGCCGAAGGGAAACCGAGUCUUAACUGGGCGUUAAGUU